rnacentral:rRNA from 1 species
AGUCACUUUGUCUUUAUGGCAAAUGUGAGAUGCAGUGUAUGGAACAUCUUAAAUCUAGUAUGAGAAAUUAACGAUUUAAGUCCUUCUUAAAUGAGGCCAUUUACCCAUAGAGGGUGCCAGGCCCGUAUAACGUUAAUGAUUACUAGAAGAUGUUUCCAAAGAGUCGUGUUGCUUGAUAGUGCAGCACUAAGUGGGUGGUAAACUCCAUCUAAAACUAAAUAUAACCAUGAGACCGAUAGUAAACAAGUACCGUGAGGGAAAGUUGAAAAGAACUCUGAAUAGAGAGUUAAAUAGUACGUGAAACUGCUUAGAGGUUAAGCCCGAUGAACCUGAAUAUCCAUUAUGGAAAAUUCAUCAUUAUGAUUGUAAUAUUUAAACAAUAUUAUAAUAAUAGUGUGCAUUUUUUCCAUAUAAGGACAUUGUAAUCUAUUAACAUUGGUAUUUAUCAAAAGAUCAAAAGCUUAUGUUUAUUCCAAUUAGUUUGCUUGCAAGCUAACACAGAAUAAAUGCUUAUGAUUUGAUAAAGUGUUGAUAGAUUUUAUUAUAUAUAGUGCUUAAAUUCUUUGAAUUUUAUAAUGCCAUUGAGAUCAUUGAUUUCAGUGUUUAUUAUAUGCGCUUAUAUGAUUAACAAUGCG